GACGAACGCUGGCGGCGUGCUUAACACAUGCAAGUCGAACGAUGAAGCCGGAGCUUGCUCUGGUGAAUUAGUGGCGAACGGGUGAGUAACACGUGAGUAACCUGCCCUUGACUCUGGGAUAACUGCGGGAAACUGUAGCUAAUACCGGAUACGACCCUCGGAGGCAUCUCCUGGGGGUGGAAAGAAUUUCGGUCAAGGAUGGACUCGCGGCCUAUCAGCUAGUUGGUGAGGUAAAGGCUCACCAAGGCGACGACGGGUAGCCGGCCUGAGAGGGCGACCGGUCACACUGGGACGGAGACACGGCCCAGACUCCUGCGGGAGGCAGCAGUGGGGAAUGUUGCACCAUGGGCGCAAGCCUGAUGCAGCAACGCCGCGUGAGGGACGACGGCCUUCGGGUUGUAAACCUCUUUUAGUAGGGAAGAAGCGAAAGUGACGGUACCUGCAGAAAAAGCACCGGCUAACUACGUGCCAGCCGCCGCGGUAA
rnacentral:rRNA from 1 species